CACCGCCCGUCACGCCAUGGAAGCUGGAGGGACCCGAAGCCGGUGUGCCAACCGCAAGGAGCAGCCGUCUAAGGUGUAGCUCAUGAUUGGGGUG
rnacentral:rRNA from 1 species